rnacentral:rRNA from 1 species
UGAAUACGAGAUGCUACGGCGUCGAAGCAGUCUAUGUCAUACUUCCAAGGAAAGCUUGCACUGUCAUAAACAAAUAAUGCCUGUACCAUAACCGACACAGGUGGGUAGGUAGAGUAUACUAAGGGGCGCGAGAUAACUCUCUCUAAGGAACUCGGCAAAAUGACUCCGUAACUUCGGGAGAAGGAGUGCCUUAUUUAUAAGGUUGCAAUAACAAGAUCCAAGCAACUGUUUACCAAAAACACAGGUCUCCGCUAAGUCGUAAGACGAUGUAUGGGGGCUGACGCCUGCCCAGUGCCAGAAGGUUAAAGAAGUUGGUUAGCAUCCGCGAAGCUGAUAACUGAAGCCCUGGUGAACGGCGGCCGUAACAAUAACGGUCCUAAGGUAGCGAAAUUCCUUGUCGGGUAAGUUCCGACCCGCACGAAAGGCGUAAUGAUUUGGAUACUGUCUCGGAGAGGGGCUCGGUGAAAUAGACUUGUCUGUGAAGAUGCGGACUACCUGCACCAGGACAGAAAGACCCUAUGAAGCUUUACUGUAACCUGAAAUUGAAAUUGGACUUUACUUGCCAGUAUAGGUGGGAGGCGUUGAGAAUAUUCUUGCGGGAUUAUUGGAGCCAUCAGUGAGAUACCACUCUUGUAAUGUUAGAUUUCUAACUUUGUAUCAUUAUCUGGUCAAAGAACAGUUUCAGGCGGGCAGUUUGACUGGGGCGGUCGCCUCCUAAACGGUAACGGAGGCGCACAAAGGUUUCCUCUGAACGGGUAGAAAUCGUAUCUAGAGUGUAAAGGCAUAAGGAAGCUUGACUGUGAGACCUACAAGUCGAGCAGGGACGAAAGUCGGUCUUAGUGAUCUGACGGUGCUGAGUGGAAAGGCCGUCACUCAACGGAUAAAAGUUACUCUAAGGAUAACAGGCUGAUCUCCCCCAAGAGUUCACAUCGACGGGGAGGUUUGGCACCUCGAUGUCGGCUCAUCGCAUCCUGGGGCGGUAGUACGUCCCAAGGGUUGGGCUGUUCGCCCAUGAAAGCGGUACGCGAGCUGGGUUCAGAACGUCGUGAGACAGUUCGGUCCAUAUCCGGUGUAGGCGUUAGAAUAUUGAGAGGAGCCUUCUUUAGUACGAGAGGACCGAGAAGGACAUACCUCUGGUGUACCAGUUAUCGUGCCAACGGUAACGCUGGGUAGCUAUGUGUGGAGUGGAUAACCGCUGAAAGCAUCUAAGUGGGAAGCCCACCUCAAGAUAAGUAUUCUC